AUGAUAUCACGGAGGCAAUCUUCCUCCGCAUCCGGCCGCACGAAGCCGAGUCCCUUGUGCGUGUUUCGCUCACGAGCAAGUUCUGGAGCAGUCGCCUCUCCGGCAGUAGCUUCUGCAGCCAGUACGUCGAGCGCCAUGGUAACACCCCACUUCUCGGUUUCUUCUACCGCUGGCCUGAGUUGUAUGAACCGAGGGGUGAGGAUACAGUCGGCCCCUUCGUUUCCACGAGCCUCCUCCACCCAUCUUAUCCAGAUGAUAUGGCCGAGAUGGAUUGUGCCAUGGACUGCCGGCAUGGCCGGGCUCUGCUCGCUGAUCUCUAUGCCGACCCAGACCAGUGAAGUUCUUGAUCUGGGACCCGAUCACCGGCCGCCGCAGGAUUCUCGUCGCACCCAGAGAGUACGACAGCCGGCAUGCUGCCGUGAUAUGUGCUGA
rnacentral:rRNA from 1 species